CUCCGUGUCGAGUGAAACCACGCAUCGUCGCAGAGGGUUGCGUUUGAUGGGAAGCAAUUGGUUCGAUUUCGAGGCAUGCUUGGACAGAGGCUGGAACCGUGUAGAGAUUUUCUCCUCAUCCUCUAGCUCUUUUCUAGUCCAAUCCAGGCCGCUCAUCAUAUUCCGAGACCAUCCUGGCCGUCGAGUCGCUCACUCAUACUUCUAGAGAUAGGUACUUUAUCCUUGCAACAAGCGAGCCUCCGCCAUGGUGAGUGUCAUCCAGCCAUUCGCUACUGCAAUCAAGCACAAGGAUUUAGCUCCAGGCAAGGUUGUCCUCUAGACUUUACUUGAAAAUCUUAUCGCCCAAAUCACCGGCAUUGCCUUUGCGCUGCAAUGCAGGAUGCACCUCCGAGUAGCGCGAGGAGAAAUGUGGCAUUGGGUGUGAUUGGGGCUUUUGUUUUGGGCGCUCUCGCGGUCGAGUGCCCGGACAACGCUGCCGCGGUUGUCACGGGAGGAUCCCGCUUCGUCAGGCCAGAAAUUCGAGAGAAACUCCGCGAAGGGAUCGAAAAGGUCAAGAAGAAACACAAGAAAAAGUAGAAACAUCCGUAAAUGUGUAUAUAUAUAUAUAUAUAUAUAUAUAUAUAUAUAUAAAUCCCAUCGCAAAAGCUUUAAAAUUUGCCAGUGAAACCACGA
rnacentral:lncRNA from 1 species